rnacentral:miRNA from 1 species
UGGCUCUGGAUCAGAACUCUGC